AGCGAACGCUGGCGGCAGGCCUAACACAUGCAAGUCGAACGAACCUUUCGGGGUUAGUGGCGGACGGGUGAGUAACACGUGGGAACGUGCCUUUAGGUUCGGAAUAACUCAGGGAAACUUGUGCUAAUACCGAAUGUGCCCUUCGGGGGAAAGAUUUAUCGCCUUUAGAGCGGCCCGCGUCUGAUUAGCUAGUUGGUUGAGGUAAUGGCUCACCAAGGCGACGAUCAGUAGCUGGUCUGAGAGGAUGAUCAGCCACCUUGGGACUGAGACACGGCCCAAACUCCUACGGGAGGCAGCAGUGGGGAAUCUUGCGCAAUGGGGGAAAGCCUGACGCAGCCAUGCCGGGUGAAUGAUGAAGGUCUUAGGAUUGUAAAAUUCUUUCACCGGGGACGAUAUUGACGGUACCCGGAGAAGAAGCCCCGGCUAACUUCGUG
rnacentral:rRNA from 1 species